rnacentral:rRNA from 1 species
CCUACGGGAGGCAGCAGUGAGGAAUAUUGGUCAAUGGACGAGAGUCUGAACCAGCCAAGUAGCGUGAAGGAUGACUGCCCUAUGGGUUGUAAACUUCUUUUAUAUGGGAAUAAAACAGGGUAUGCAUACCCUCUUGUAUGUACCAUAUGAAUAAGGAUCGGCUAACUCCGUGCCAGCAGCCGCGGUAAUACGGAGGAUCCGAGCGUUAUCCGGAUUUAUUGGGUUUAAAGGGUGCGUAGGCGGAAUGCCAAGUCAGCGGUAAAAUCGCGGGGCUCAACCUCGCUCCGCCGUUGAAACUGGCGUUCUUGAGUGGGCGAGAAGUAUGCGGAAUGCGUGGUGUAGCGGUGAAAUGCAUAGAUAUCACGCAGAACUCCGAUUGCGAAGGCAGCAUACCGGCGCCCAACUGACGCUGAAGCACGAAAGCGUGGGUAUCGAACAGGAUUAGAUACCCGAGUAGUC